GGGGAAUUUUCCGCAAUGGGCGAAAGCCUGACGGAGCAAGACCGCGUGGGGGAAGAAGGCUCUUGGGUUGUCAACCCCUUUUCUCAGGGAAGAAGUUCUGACGGUACCUGAGGAAUAAGCCUCGGCUAACUCCGUGCCAGCAGCCGCGGUAAGACGGAGGAUGCAAGCGUUAUCCGGAAUUAUUGGGCGUAGAGCGUCCGUAGGUGGCUUUUCAAGUCGGCGGUCAAAGACCGGGGCUUAACUCCGGAAAGGCCGUGGAAACUGAAAGGCUAGAGAAAGGUAGGGGUAGGGGGAAUUCCCGGUGUAGCGGUGAAAUGCGUAGAGAUCGGGAAGAACACCGGUGGCGAAAGCGCCCUACUGGACCUUAUCUGACACUGAGGGACGAAAGCUAGGGGAGCGAAAGGGAUUAGAUACCCCAGUAGUC
rnacentral:rRNA from 1 species